rnacentral:rRNA from 1 species
AACAUUUAACAAUGGAUCUCUUGGUUUUCUCAAUUGUGAAGAACGCAGCAAAAUGUGAUAAGUAGUGUGAAUCAUCGAAAUCUUUAAUGGCAUAUUGUACUUUUUUAAUUUACUAAUUUACUAAAAAAAGUAUAUCUGUUUGAGUAUCA